rnacentral:lncRNA from 1 species
GUGUGUGUUCAUUCCUGUCCUGAGGCUGUGGGAGCUGACUUUUUUUUCAAGACCUCUGCCUUGGCUGGAAGAUGAUGCUCAAACCCCUGAAUAGAGAAGCAAUGGUUUCAAACAUCCAAGUCACCACAGGGGAGAAAUCAAGAGUUGUUUCUCUCCGUUGGGUUCUUCACUGCUUAUAAACUUUGGAGAUUUGAAUGCCUGUGGACUCCCUUAAUUAGUGCUCUUGAGCCAAACAGGUGGCACAGCUGUGCCCUGCUGGUGAGGGGAGAGCUUUCAGCCUGAAAAAAGACAACAGAAAGGUACAAGAGAAACCUAUAAGGCAGGGAUGUGGCAAGAGGAGGCAGGAGGGCAACUACGGGCCAUUGACAUGGGGGGGAUUGCAGGGGUGUGGAAUGAGUCCAAUCUAAAACAAAUGAAGGAAAAUUAUAACUUUUCCCCACUUUCUCUGGCAGCAAAAGAACUUUUAAACAAGCAAUUCCAGCUUCUUUUUAUUAUCAAGGAAAAUAGUCUGUUAUAGCUACAUACCUGUGUGGUUCUGAGAGCGUGAAAAACUUGGUAAACAAGCAGGAAAUGAAAGUGAGAAUUAAUUCAAUCCCAAAUUUGCCAUAGAAAGGAACAGUUGAGAAAUCACUGGUGCUGUUUAAUAACUGCUAAAAGGGAGAGGAUAAAUACAAUAUUAAUUUUGUGGCUUUUUUUUGCACUUCAGUGAACAUACAUUUUUGUAAUUGUAUUUACUGGGUUUGGCUGUGUUGAAAGAUAAGGGAUAAUUACAUUCUUGCCUGAUGGGAAGAAGCCUUCAACAUUAUGCCUUUUUUUAGUAUGUUAACAAUACUGUAAUAUUCAGGAAUUCAAUCAGAUAAUAAUUAAUGACAAAAGAAAACAUUCUUAAUGAAUGAGUUCCAUGAACUUGAUCUGUGCUCCGAAAACUGAAAAUCCUUCUGUUAUCUCACUGUAAAUACAGACCUGAGAGCCUCCAGUCCAUCCCAGCCCCAUUUGUUGGGUGGCUGUUGCUUGUGUGAGGGCUGGUGUGACUGUGUGCUGUCAGCUGGGUGGAGUAUUUUGGUGCUCUUUCCAGUUUUGAUUGGGGUUCCCAACCCUAGGUUACCAUUUUGCACCUGCUAUUAAGUUCACAUGUUCUUUUCAAGUGCUGUUGACUGAUGUUAUGGGAAAACCACAGUAUCCAGGGCUUUGUUCAAACAGCCAUAGGUACUGCUGGAUUUCAUAAUCUGCUUUCAAACCAGAUUGAGAUGGCCCUGGCAUGCUUGCAUGUGUAUGGCUGUAUAAACAAAUGCAC